CAGCAAGCCCCAGGUCUAGCCAGACCCAGGACCUUGCUCUGCACACCCCUCCCACCUUACCUGAGAACGGCCCCCACGUGGACCUUCCAUGGAUGCUGGUAUGUCAGAAUCCCCACCCUGAGCUGCCUGGCAUAGCAGUGGUGUUGCAGUGGUGGCGGGAUGGGGCCGGGCUGAUGCCUCUGGGUUUGCUGACGUUUGAUUAUGCCCUGAUAAAUAUAGGCUCAAAGAAAUCCAGAAA